AUUGAACGCUGGCGGCAGGCCUAACACAUGCAAGUCGAGCGGAGCGGCGGACGGGUGAGUAAUGCCUAGGAAUCUGCCUGGUAGUGGUGGAUAACGUCCGUUAACGGGCGCUAAUACCGCAUACUAUCAGAUGAGCCUAGGUCGGAUUAGCUCGUUGGUGGGGUAAAGGCCUACCAAGGCGACGAUCCGUAACUGGUCUGAGAGGAUGAUCAGUCACACUGGAACGGGGACACGGGCCAGACUCCGAAGGGAGGCAGCAGUGGGGAAUAUUGGACAAGGGGCGGAAGCCUGAUCCAGCCAUGCCGCGUGUGUGAAGAAGGUCUUCGGAGUGUAAAGCACUUUAAGUUGGGAGGCGGUACCAACAGAAUAAGCACCGGCUAACUACGUGCCAGCAGCCGCGGUAAUAC
rnacentral:rRNA from 1 species